rnacentral:rRNA from 1 species
ACUCCUACGGGAGGCAGCAGUGAGGAAUAUUGGUCAAUGGACGUAAGUCUGAACCAGCCAAGUCGCGUGAGGGAAGACUGCCCUAUGGGUUGUAAACCUCUUUUAUAAGGGAAGAAUAAGUUCUACGUGUAGAAUGAUGCCUGUACCUUAUGAAUAAGCAUCGGCUAACUCCGUGCCAGCAGCCGCGGUAAUACGGAGGAUGCGAGCGUUAUCCGGAUUUAUUGGGUUUAAAGGGUGCGUAGGCGGUUUAUUAAGUUAGUGGUUAAAUAUUUGAGCUAAACUCAAUUGUGCCAUUAAUACUGGUAAACUGGAGUACAGACGAGGUAGGCGGAAUAAGUUAAGUAGCGGUGAAAUGCAUAGAUAUAACUUAGAACUCCGAUAGCGAAGGCAGCUUACCAGACUGUAACUGACGCUGAUGCACGAGAGCGUGGGUAGCGAACAGGAUUAGAUACCCUGGUAGUCCACGCCGUAAACGAUGCUCACUGGUUCUGUGCGAUAUAUUGUACGGGAUUAAGCGAAAGUAUUAAGUGAGCCACCUGGGGAGUACGUCGGCAACGAUGAAACUCAAAGGAAUUGACGGGGGCCCGCACAAGCGGAGGAACAUGUGGUUUAAUUCGAUGAUACGCGAGGAACCUUACCUGGGUUUAAAUGGGAAAUGUCGUAUUUGGAAACAGAUAUUCUCUUCGGAGCGUUUUUCAAGGUGCUGCAUGGUUGUCGUCAGCUCGUGCCGUGAGGUGUCGGGUUAAGUCCCAUAACGAGCGCAACCCUUACCGUUAGUUGCUAGCAUGUAAUGAUGAGCACUCUAACGGGACUGCCACCGUAAGGUGAGAGGAAGGCGGGGAUGACGUCAAAUCAGCACGGCCCUUACACCCAGGGCUACACACGUGUUACAAUGGCCGGUACAGAGGGCCGCUACCAGGUGACUGGAUGCCAAUCUCAAAAGCCGGUCGUAGUUCGGAUUGGAGUCUGUAACCCGCCUCCAUGAAGUUGGAUUCGCUAGUAAUCGCGCAUCAGCCAUGG